CAUUCUCAUUGCAUGAGUAAACUGAAAUUUCAGGAACUGAAUGCCAUGUUAGUGUGCCUAGUCUUCGGAAAAUAAUUUUUAAUUCUAAAGGACAGCAACAACUCACUGUUCAGCUUGGACCUUCCACAGCCCCUGACACUUUGCGAGGUCCUUCCAUUGCUAAAGUCCUUUCGCCUGGACCUUCUGAUUCCCAAGAAACAUUGCCUACGCUGCCAACAGCCAACCAGAGAUGAGUAAAAAUACUGUGCACAUGACUUCAGUGGAGAUGAAGAAUUUAUUCAAAGUGAUGACCCAAUUGUGGACCCAAAAUUCACUUAUUUCAUGACACAUGUACAUUGCUACUUACAGAUUUUGUGUUCAUCUUUCUAUUCAGU